CAAUAGCGUAUAUUAAAGUUGUUGCGGUUAAAAAGCUCGUAGUUGGAUUUCUGUCGAAGACUGCCGGUCCGCUCUAUGAGCGUGUAUCUGGUUAGGCUUUGGCAUCCUCUUGAAGAACGUUACUGUGCUUAAUUGCAUGGUGCGGAAUUCAAGACUUUUACUUUGAGGAAAUUAGAGUGUUCACGGCAGGCAAGCGCCUUGAAUACAUUAGCAUGGAAUAAUAAUAUAGGAUCGCGAUUCUAUUUUGUUGGUUUCUAGAAUCACGAUAAUGAUUAAUAGGGAUAAUUGGGGGCAUUCGUAUUGACGAGUCAGAGGUGAAAUUCUUGGAUUUCGUCACGACGAACUACUGCGAAAGCAUUUGCCAAGGAUGUUUUCAUUGAUCAAGAACGAAAGUUUAGGGGGAUCGAAGA
rnacentral:rRNA from 1 species